CCGGUGGGAUGAUCUGCAUGAGAUGCUGCAUUGAAGACAACUCCGAAAAUACGGGACAAACCCCGUCCCGUAUUGAUUCAAAACUGGACGUGCUAUUUGAUUCUCAAAUACGGGACGAUUCCGUAUUUUAAGGGACGGGUGGCAACCCUAGCUAUCCCAGUGGGCUUGCCCACAAAAAACCCACAUAGGGGCCCCAAAGGGGUUUAGUGUGGGUUUGCUCUGCCCACAUUGUCCCACAGAAAACACGCAGUGGGCCAGCGUGGGCAUGUUUGCUGGGUAGUUUUGAGUGCGGUAAGGGGCACUUUUAGGCUCCUAGUUUUUUUUUUUUCUAAAGUAACAUUAAGCACUGGUUCAUGUGCUGGUCAUCGCCUAAUUAGGAACCGGAGUAGAUAAAUAUCACGUGUGAUUUUUUAAUAUAUGCAAGUCUGUCUUUAUUUUAAAAUGUGUCAGAGCAUAUUUACAUAUUAGUUUUUCAUUAGAGUUAAAAAUAAUUGAAUACAUCUUUAAUUUAUUUACUUUGAGUUUUAUUGAUGGGAUUGAACGGGAAUCAUUAGAAAGUCCUGAGGCGCUCAAACCUUACGACGACGCCACAGAGGGUGUUCAAACAGAACUAUAUAAAUAUAUAAAGAGUCACUUUCUUUAAAUUAUUUGUGGGUUUGUUGUAGUGGUCAGUGAGUUUCACAGCGAUGGGACAGCGAGGUACUAAAGUGAGUCCGAUGACGGUUGGCGAGGUGUUCGAUCAACAUAUACGUACACCCCCAGCACCAACACGGUGGAUCAACAUCCUCAUCAUCGCUGUAAGACCCCUGAUGGAGCUGGAGGAGGAGGAGGAGGAGGAGAGGAAGAGCAGGACGUGGUGGCGGAGGUUGUGCUCUUUCUUUAGAGCUGCCAAACCCCAGAGAGCAGCUCAGGUCAGAGAAGAGGAAGAUGGCAUGGGCUGGAAGAAGUAGUGAUGGCCAUGACACUUGACCAAGACACGUCUCUCAAUGUGUGAAAGUGGAUGUAGUUUAACAGACUACAUCUUCAGUCGCUACACCUCUGGAGAUCAGCUGGGGAAAGGUGGAGUUGGUGUUGUGUAUGGAGGCAGACGUUCAGAUGAUGAUCCUAAAGUGGCUUUGAAAUAUGUAACGACAACACACUAGUCCGUCCCAUCAUCCAAAACCUCUUCCAAAAGAGGUCACCCUCACCACCCUGCCAAACACAGGUCCCAGCGUGCCAGAGAUAAUCAGUCUGCGUGACUGGACGGACCCCCCUGACCUCUCCGUCAUGGUCCUCGAAUGUCCCUCUCCCGGUGAGAAUCUGGAGGAGUUCAUCAGGCGUCACGGUGGAAGUCUUGAUGAAGAAACACAUGGCAGUGUACCUCCGUGACGUCAAACUAGAGAACAUCCUGGUACACAGGGAGACAUCCCAAGUCAGGCUGAUUGACUUCAAUGCGGGGACAUUUUGAGGAGGACACCGUACAGGAUACUUAUAUAUGAUAUUAUUAAUUUCUUCUAAUAGCGCUGCAUUAAAGCAAGCUUACACGUCUCUCCUGCAGGCACAGCAGUGUCCUCCCCUCCAGAGUACCACAGCGGGCCGGCGACGGUCUGGACACUAGGGACUGUGAUGUUCACUAUGUUGUGUGGACACCUCCCUAGUGACUGUGACCUGGUCCUGCUACAGUGCAGGCGCUGGUCCAAACCCAGCCUGUCACACGGUGAGAUCUUGACUAAUUCAGAACCAUACAACACAUCUGGGAGCUUAGAAGAGCCUGAUCAAACAGAGCAGAUGUGAAGUGUGUCUUCCUGCACAGAACGCUGUGACCUCCUCAGGACUCUCCUGCACGAGAAGCCAAGCGGAGACUUGAUCUGGGGCGAAUCAUGGCCCACAACUGGUUUAGGGAGGUGAACCUAAGAUCAGCUGUAAAGAAUUAAUAUCCUCAUGAGAAAGAACCUCAGAAAAGGUAUUUUCUCUGUUAUGGGACUAACCUGGGAAAUGAAUCUGUAGUUCCUUCAUGCCAUGUCAGAGCUGAUGUCUCGAAUGACCUCAAGAACUCAAAACUAGCCGCCACACGCUUUCGGUCAGAUAAAAGAGACUAAAACAUAAAUACGACACAUUUAUUUCCCUUUCUCCUUUAAAAAAAGUUUUACUUUUAGACAAUAUUUCAAGACACGAUUCAAUUUACAAAGCAAAAGGUACUGGUUAAAUAUAAAAUGGAGACCAAACACCAUUGUCCACACAGUGCAGCAAGAUGCAACCAGUUCUGGGCUGUUUGUUAUGCAGGUUAUUUUUAUUGUUUUGUAAAUGGAUUUAUGAAAUCAAUACAAAUAAUUUAUUAUUAAUACUAACAGCAUUAUCAAUAUGACAUGAACGAUCGAUCCCAAUCAAGAAAACAUCAAGAAACUGAGAUGACGGAUGGCAAACAAUAUUCUUCAUGCAUCAGGUAAUAUAACAAGCAUCCAGUAAUUCAAAAGAACAUCUACUGGAAUAUUCCAAAAGACUUACUGAACUGUAUUAGACAAAGAAUGAGAGGAGUAAAUAACAUGCAUGAAUAAGUAAAUAUAAUCUGCUGUAGAAUCCAAGGAGGAUUACUGUACUGUGGAUGGAAGGAAGAUAAAUCCCACAGCAACACUCUUUGGGUAUAUAUAUUGAACUAAAAUGUGAUAAAACAUGUACUAGCAAUACAACUGUGCAUGUGUUUACUUUUUAAUGGUACAUUUCUGUUUAUUUUUGUAAGAUGCAAUGUGAACAGUGCCAAAGAUGGUUUCAUGCAUGCUGCCUUGGACUAUCUCCGGUCAUUAUACUUGGACAGGACCCCAGUGGUAUUGCUCAUUAUGUGACUAGUGGAAAAAAGUCCACUUAAAUAUUUGUGCAGUGUUACAAUACCGAAAUUUGAAAGGCUGCCUACAUUUUGUGAACAUAGAUGUCAUUUUGUAGAAAAACAAAAAACAAUAGAAAGACUGACAGGGUGUUAUUUAUAAUGGUGGUAAGUUUGUGCAAAAGUGUGCAAAAUAAGUUUUCUUUUUAUUAUAUUGUUUCUGAAUUUAUAAAAGAAAUGUGUUGUAGAAGAUACAGCAGUUCCACUACCUGCUUGUGCCUAAUAUAUUUACCAAAAUAAUACAGUAGAGUUGCCAAUGGACAGUAUAUACAGUAUAGGGUGUUACUGUCAUAUUUUCAGCUGUAGUAAGUCAGUCUGGUCUCUAUUAACAUACUGCAAACACUGAAACAUUAAAUAAAAAAACACUCGCUACGUCAUGUGGUGAGUUUGCUUUGAAGGUGUGUGACAGCACGUAUGAAAUGUUCACUGAAAUGGGAGGAUUUUAUUGUGUUUAUAAUUGUUAUUUUUCCAGUUAGCAGAACAUAUUCUGCACCAGUGCCGAACUGCAGGCGCUGCAAUGCAAUCUCAGUGACAAAUGCCUUUGUCAGCUGAACUUGAUCGACAUCACGGAGAACGUUACAGGUGUCACAGACAUACAUCAUCUCUCGGAGAAGGAGAAAAAACACGAGAGAGCAGAGGUGCACAUGGAUAGUGGGAGCAGUGUAAUGUAAGUGAGUAAUUUAAGUAAGUAGUGUAAUGUGUAAUCGAGCAAAUAUUUGCAUCCCCUGAGAGAAUUGGCAGGCGCCGCCACUGUUCUGCACAAUACACAUAUUCACUUCUCCAAUGAACCACACGAUAUAGCAUGAUUUAGACUGGAGAUUACAUCAACACUGCUUGAGCAAUCUGGUGUUUUUAUUUAUUUUAAUCAUAAAAGUUAUUGAUAUUGAUGUGCAUCACUUUCAUUAGUGUUUUGAUAAUCUGACCUAAUAAAAGCAUACCCUGCUACUGUAUUAUAACUCAGAGAUGACCUGAUGUGGGGAGGCAGGAACAUCGGAUGACUCUGCAGAUCAUCUCCGGAUUUCCUGUGAUGAGUGUGGGCACUGGUUUCAUAUCAACUGUGUUAAUAACCCACAGGCUAAG